GCUCCUGUAGCUCAGAGGAUUAGAGCGCUCGUCUUCGGAACGAGAUGUCGGGGGUUCGAGUCCCUCCAGGAGCACCA
rnacentral:tRNA from 1 species